rnacentral:lncRNA from 1 species
CACAAAAAUGUGAAAAACCAUGGCACUAAGUGGACCAUGGAAGGAUAUUUGUUUGCAGUAUGAGGCAGAAGCAAGAAGACAGAGCGCCCUGUGGAACCUCAGCUGAUAAAGUGUGCAUGGAAUGAGAUGUGGCUCCUGCUCCCGCUGAGUUUACAGUUCGAAGUGGAGAUGAAAGGAAUAUGCUGACAUGUGCUGUCCUACCUUCACUC